CGGUGUCCCUGGUCACUGUCACAUCCAGUGACACAGGACAGAAAAUGGCCUUCCCAAAGAAACAUGUGCAAAGGCGGUGUGUCUGCGGACAGCGGCUGUGGUUCUGGGUGCAACAGAGGAAAACCAAACUUUGGACUCAGAUUUUAGCCCCAAAGACCUGGAGGAACAAGCUGCCAAUGUUGCAGCCAUAAGACAGCGUGGAUGGCCAUGGAGCACGGGUGUCCCUGCGCGCAUAAGACAGCGUGGAUGGCCAUGGAGCACGGGUGUCCCUGCGCGCAUAAGACAGCGUGGAUGGGCAUGGAGCACGGGUGUCCCUGCGCGCAUAAGGCAGCCGUGGAUGGCCAUGGAGCACGGGUGUCCCUGCGCGCAUUCCGGAGCCCAGGUCCGAGUUCAUAAGGUUCAAGAGGUAAAACAGACCACAGAUGAGAAUUAGGAUGGUGGCCGCCUGGAAAAGGGGAGGGCGGAGGUGUCAGGAGGGGAGGGGGGCUUCGGAGGGACCGGCCUUGUUUCUUCUCCCAGGUGUGUGCUUCACGGUGAUUCAUAGAUUCGUACACGGAGCGCGUGUGCACAUUUCUCUGUGUGUGACACUUCAAUUAAAACCACCACCGUAGAGCUAUGAAGUAAAUCCCACCUUUGCCCAAAGCAAGCAAUAUAUAUGGGCCUGUGUACAUGUCUGUUUUUUGGUAGAAAUCAUUAACAAGGUUUGGGCGAAAGGUUACAUAAAGGACUGUUGUCUUUUUGUUUUCUUUUUAGUUUAUAUGUCUCUGUUACGGUGAACAUUUUUUAUGACCUACAUUACUUUUGUAAUAGAAAGUCAACGAAAAAAAUGUGUAUGUACCCGAUGAUUAAAAAAGCCAUCAAAAAAAAAAAUCACGUUUCCCAAUUUUCUUUGAGAAUGCUUAACUUUUAUAAUGGAAAACAGUAAAAAAAAAAAAAAAAAAAAAAAAA